rnacentral:rRNA from 1 species
AACGAACGCUGGCGGCAUGCCUAACACAUGCAAGUCGAACGAGACCUUCGGGUCUAGUGGCGCACGGGUGCGUAACGCGUGGGAACCUGCCCUUAGGUUCGGAAUAACUCCCCGAAAGGGGUGCUAAUACCGGAUAAUGGCUUCGGACCAAAGAUUUAUCGCCUUUGGAUGGGCCCGCGUUGGAUUAGCUAGUUGGUAGGGUAAAAGCCUACCAAGGCGACGAUCCAUAGCUGGUCUGAGAGGAUGAUCAGCCACACUGGGACUGAGACACGGCCCAGACUCCUACGGGAGGCAGCAGUGGGGAAUAUUGGACAAUGGGCGAAAGCAUGAUCCAGCAAUGCCGCGUGAGUGAUGAAGGCCUUAGGGUUGUAAAGCUCUUUUACCCGGGAUGAUAAUGACAGUACCGGGAGAAUAAGCGCCGGCUAACUCCGUG